rnacentral:rRNA from 1 species
CCUACGGGCGGCUGCAGUGAGGAAUAUUGGUCAAUGGACGAGAGUCUGAACCAGCCAAGUAGCGUGAAGGAUGACUGCCCUAUGGGUUGUAAACUUCUUUUAUAUGGGAAUAAAAUGUUCCACGUGUGGGAUUUUGUAUGUACCAUAUGAAUAAGGAUAGGCUAACUCCGUGCCAGCAGCCGCGGUAAUACGGAGGAUCCGAGCGUUAUCCGGAUUUAUUGGGUUUAAAGGGAGCGUAGGUGGAUUGUUAAGUCAGUUGUGAAAGUUUGCGGCUCAACCGUAAAAGUGCAGUUGAAACUGGCAGUCUUGAGUACAGUAGAGGUGGGCGGAAUUCGUGGUGUAGCGGUGAAAUGCUUAGAUAUCACGAAGAACUCCGAUUGCGAAGGCAGUUCACUGGACUGCAACUGACACUGAGGCUCGAAAGUGUGGGUAUCAAACAGGAUUAGAUACCCCUGUAGUC